CAAAUCGUGAAUUCAUGUCAUAUAGGCUACACUAAAAUUAUA
rnacentral:misc_RNA from 1 species